CGAAGCAGCACGCUGUGAUCCCCAGUCAGGUGUUUGAGUUGGAGGACGGCUCCAGCAGUUACAAGGACUUCGCUAUGACUCGUAACAACCGCUUCACCAGCGCCGGCCCAGGCGUCCAAGAACAUCAUCCAGCCGCCCUCCUGUGUGCUGCACUUCUACAACGUGCCGCCCUGCGUCAGAGAGGACGACCUGCAGCGGCUGUGCACAGAACACGACGUCCCAGGAUUCAUCAAAUACAAAGUGUUUGACGCCAAACCCAGCUCUAAGACCAUCUCUGGCCUGCUGGAGUUCGACAGUAAGACUCACGCCGUGGAGGUUCUGACGGUCCUCAACCACCACCAGAUCCGGAUCCCCAACGGUUCGAACCCGUACACACUGAAGCUGUGCUUCUCCACCUCCUCACACCUCUGAGCCAGAGCGACUGAUACCACCGUCUUCAUCAUCUUCAUCAUCCUCACCUGCUGAGACUCUCCUUCAGAAUAAGCCCUCUUUAGUUUUUCAUCUGUGACCCUGAUCAAACCAGGAAACUGACACACACACACACACACACACACAUAAUAUAAUGAUGUCACUCCAAAAGAGGUGAUGAAGGACACUGGUGUUUGAGGACAUCAUCAUCUGAUCUGGACCGACUGAAGACGUGAUGAACACUUUAUUAUUUAUGUGUACAGCAGCGGGUUCACUAGAGACUAACGGAUCCGCCGCUGGGUUAACCCUUAACUAGUCACAUGAUCCAGACACACAUCACAUGACUGCUAGUUAGUUCCGCUCCCCAUCUCUCUGUUCAGUUCCUGCAGAUCUGAUGAAGCUCUUCACUGUAAAACACUGCUGCUCUUCCUCAGGAUUUCCAGGUUCUUCAAUCAAGAUACUGGAGAAACAAAAUGACUUAAAAUAAGAAAGAAGUCUUGUUUUCUGAUAAACUGAGAAUCAAAAUCAGGUGAGUUUAUGAUUAAAAAAAGAAUAGAGAAAUCAGCUUAAUUCAAAUGAAAGUCUUCAUUCCUCAUUGGCAGAUAUUUGUUCUUGUUUUAAUCAUGAACUCUUCAUAUCUUGAUCGUGCCCCUACAGAAAACACAUCUCGAUUUAAGGAGGUUUAAAACCAGACAAAACUACAGUACUUUCUUUGCAGUGUAUGCAACACUUAAUGUCAUGAUUUCUGAAUGAAUAUGAAUUAUGAAGACAUUCUGCUCUGAUUAAAAAUGUUUUCAGGCCUUCAUUUGUGGAAGAGUGAAACGUUAUACGACCUGCAGAAACCUGGACGUGAAGCCUUCAGAUCCGUUCUGGACCUCUUUAGUUUGAUUUAAAUGCAGCGGUCAACAGUGAGAAAAUACAUUUAUUCAACUGAAAGCAAAACAAAAAACAUCACUAAAUAAAAUCCUAUUUUCAAAUGUGUAAAUAAUAUGAAGGAACUGUAUCUAAAAUGAACAAAGGGCAAUAAAAAAUACUAAUUAAACAUUUUUAUUAAAAAAAUAGUAUAUCUCC